rnacentral:rRNA from 1 species
AACGAACGCUGGCGGCAUGCCUAACACAUGCAAGUCGAACGAGACCUUCGUGUCUAUUUGCGCACGUGUGCUUAACGCCUGGUAACCUGCCCUUAGGUUCGGUAUAACUCCCCUUAAGGUGUGCUAAUACCGGAUAAUGUCUUCGCACCAACGAUUUAUCGCCUUUGGCUGGGCCCGCGUUGGUUUAGCUGGUUGGUAGUGUAAAAGCAUACCAAGGCGUGGAUCCAUAGCUGGUCUGGGAGGAUGAUCAGUCGGAAUGGGAAUGCGGCACGGACCAGAAUGCUACGGAGGGGAGCAGUAGGGAAUAUUGUGGACUGAGCGAAAGUCUGACAACGCCGCGCGGCGUGAGUGAUGAAGGGCUUAGGGUUGCAAAGCUCCUUUACACGGGACGAUAAUGACAGUAACGGGAGAAUAAGCUCCGGCUAACUACGUG